rnacentral:rRNA from 1 species
GGAUUUCGGUUGAGAACGGCCGGUCCGCCGUUUGGUGUGCACUGGCUGGUCUCAACUUCCUGUAGAGGACGCGCUCUGGGUUAACGCUCGGACGCGGAGUCUACGUGGUUACUUUGAAAAAAUUAGAGUGUUCAAAGCGGGCUUACGCUUGAAUAUUUCAGCAUGGAAUAACACUAUAGGACUCCUGUCCUAUUUCGUUGGUCUCGGGACGGGAGUAAUGAUUAAGAGGAACAGUUGGGGGCAUUCGUAUUUCAUUGUCAGAGGUGAAAUUCUUGGAUUUAUGAAAGACGAACUUCUGCGAAAGCAUUUGCCAAGGAUGUUUUCAUUAAUCAAGAACGAAAGUUGGGGGCUCGAAGAUGAUUAGAUACCAUCCUAGUCUCAACCAUAAACGAUGCCGACUAGGGAUUGCAGGAUGUUAAUUGAUGACUCCUGCAGCACCUUAUGAGAAAUCAAAGUUUUUGGGUUCCGGGGGGAGUAUGGUCGCAAGGCUGAAACUUAAAGGAAUUGACGGAAGGGCACCACCAGGCGUGGAGCCUGCGGCUUAAUUUGACUC